GCUCAAAUUUGAAAUCUGGCCCCAGGCCCGAGUUGUAAUUUGCAGAGGAUGCUUUUGGCGCGGUGCCUUCCGAGUUCCCUGGAACGGGACGCCAUAGAGGGUGAGAGCCCCGUACGGUUGGACACCAAGCCUUUGUAAAGCUCCUUCGACGAGUCGAGUAGUUUGGGAAUGCUGCUCAAAAUGGGAGGUAUAUUUCUUCUAAAGCUAAAUAUAGGCCAGAGACCGAUAGCGCACAAGUAGAGUGAUCGAAAGAUGAAAAGCACUUUGAAAAGAGGGUUAAACAGCACGUGAAAUUGUUAAAAGGGAAGCGCUUGUGACCAGACUUGCGUCCGGUGAAUCACCCAGCUCUCGCGGCUGGGGCACUUCGCCGGCACAGGCCAGCAUCAGCUUGCCGUCGGGGACAAAAGCUUCAGGAACGUAGCUCUCUUCGGGGAGUGUUAUAGCCUGUUGCAUAAUACCCUUCGGCGGGCUGAGGUACGCGCUCCGCAAGGAUGCUGGCGUAAUGGUCAUCAGCGACCCGUCUUGAACCGGANNCA
rnacentral:rRNA from 1 species